GAUGAAGAACGUAGCAAAAUGCGAUAAGUAAUGUGAAUUGCAGAAUUCAGUGAAUCAUCGAAUCUUUGAACGCACAUUGCGCCCGCUGGUAUUCCGGCGGGCAUGCCUGUUCGAGCGUCAUUUCAACCCUCAAGCCCCCGGGUUUGGUGUUGGGGAUCGGCUCUGCCCUUCUGGGCGGUGCCGCCCCCGAAAUACAUUGGCGGUCUCGCUGCAGCCUCCAUUGCGUAGUAGCUAACACCUCGCAACUGGAACGCGGCGCGGCCAUGCCGUAAAACCCCAACUUCUGAAUGUUGACCUCGGAUCAGGUAGGAAUACCCGCUGAACUUAAGUAUAUCAAUAAGCGGAGGA
rnacentral:misc_RNA from 1 species